rnacentral:rRNA from 1 species
AUUGAACGCUGGCGGCAGGCCUAACACAUGCAAGUCGAACGAGUGGCGGACGGGUGAGUAAUGUCUGGGAAACUGCCUGAUGGAGGGGGAUAACUACUGGAAACGGUAGCUAAUAACGCAUACCAUCGGAUGUGCCCCGAUGGGAUUAGCUCGUAGGUGGGGUAACGGAUCACCUAGGCGACGAUCCCUAGCUGGUCUUAGAGGAUGAACAGCCACACGGGAACUGAGACACGGUCCAGACUCCUACGGGAGGCAGCAGUGGGGAAGAUUGCACAAUGGGCGCAAGCCGGAUGCAGCCAUGCCGCGUGUAUGAAGAAGGCCUUCGGGUGGUAAAGUACUUUCAGCGGGGAGGCGUUACCCUCAGAAGAAGCACCGGCUAACUCCGUGCCAGCAGCCGCGGUAAUAC